AAUGAACGCUGGCGGCAUGCCUAACACAUGCAAGUCGAACGAAGGCUUCGGCCUUAGUGGCGCACGGGUGCGUAACGCGUGGGAAUCUGCCCUUGGGUUCGGAAUAACAGUUAGAAAUGACUGCUAAUACCGGAUGAUGUCGUGAGACCAAAGAUUUAUCGCCCAAGGAUGAGCCCGCGUAGGAUUAGCUAGUUGGUGGGGUAAAAGCUCACCAAGGCGACGAUCCUUAGCUGGUCUGAGAGGAUGAUCAGCCACACUGGGACUGAGACACGGCCCAGACUCCUACGGGAGGCAGCAGUGGGGAAUAUUGGACAAUGGGCGAAAGCCUGAUCCAGCAAUGCCGCGUGAGUGAUGAAGGCCUUAGGGUUGUAAAGCUCUUUUACCCGGGAUGAUAAUGACAGUACCGGGAGAAUAAGCUCCGGCUAACUUCGUGCCAGCCGCCGCUGUAAGAC
rnacentral:rRNA from 1 species